UACGAAGGGGGCUAGCGUUGUUCGGAAUUACUGGGCGUAAAGCGCGCGCAGGCGGCUAUCCAAGUCAGUGGUGAAAGCCCGGAGCUCAACUCCGGAACUGCCAUUGAAACUGUUUAGCUUGAGGAUGAGAGAGGUGAGUGGAAUUCCCAGUGUAGAGGUGAAAUUCGUAGAUAUGGGGAGGAACACCGGUGGCGAAAGCGGCUCACUGGACCAUUACUGACGCUGAGGCACGAAAGCUAGGGGAGCAAACAGG
rnacentral:rRNA from 1 species